rnacentral:rRNA from 1 species
AUUGAACGCUGGCGGCAUGCCUUACACAUGCAAGUCGAACGGCAGCGGGGGAGAAGCUUGCUUUUCCUGCCGGCGAGUGGCGAACGGGUGAGUAAUACAUCGGAACGUGCCCUGUAGUGGGGGAUAACUAGUCGAAAGAUUAGCUAAUACCGCAUACGACCUGAGGGUGAAAGGGGGGGACCGCAAGGCCUCAUGUUAUAGGAGCGGCCGAUGUCUGAUUAGCGAUGUGGUGGGGUAAAGGCCUACCAAGGCGACGGUCAGUAGCUGGUCUGCGAGGACAAUCAGCAACACUGGGACUGAGACACGGACCAGGCUCCUACGGGAGGCAGCAGUGGGGAAUUUUGGACAAUGGGCGAAAGCCUGAUCCAGCAAUGCCGCGUGUGUGAAGAAGGCCUUCGGGUUGUAAAGCACUUUUGUCCGGAAAGAAAUGGCUCUGGUUAAUACCUGGGGUCGAUGACGGUACCGGAAGAAUAAGGACCGGCUAACUACGUGCCAGCAGCCGCAGUAA